AUGUCGCGGACAACUUGCAGCUGCCCCCCAAAGAAGUGUUUCCAAGGCACUUGUGACUGUUUAAUAGGGAUUGAGUUAUGCUAUUCGGGAUGCAACUGCAGUGCUGACUGCCAGAACGGCUUAUCUCUUGGAACAAUCAACCCGGCUGCUGCCCAAGGUACCACCCCAACGCUUGCCUCUGGCUCUUCUGCUGCCCAAGAUACUGCUCAAACGCAACCGCUUGCCCCGAGCUCUUCUACUGCCCAAGGUAUCGCUCAACCACAUCCACUUGCCCCGAGCUCUUCUACUGCGGCCGUGCCAAAGCCAGAGGCAGUUGGUGGGCGGGUGAAGUGCAACUGCAGCUUUACCAAAUGCCUAAACUGCCAAUGCACAUGUUUCAGGGAGGGUUUGAGUUGCAUGAUGGGACGCUGCAAGUGCUAUGACUGCGAGAACAACCCAGAUUGGCUGGCCGACGAGGAUUACGUGGAGUGCGCGUGCAAAACCAAAAAUUGCAAAACCAGAGCCUGCGGUUGCAACAAGUUGGUUCUUGAUUUGAAGAAACUGAAAGGGUGUAACCCAAAUUGCACGUGCAUAGGGUGCGAGAAUCAGUACGGGAUGAAAGGGGCUGAUAAGUCCAAUGCUGGACCGGGAGGUACGGGUGGCACAAGUGACGCCGGAGGCUCGGGUUCCAACAAGCAAAUAAGAAUCGGGUGA
rnacentral:rRNA from 1 species